rnacentral:rRNA from 1 species
GAUUAACGCUGGCGGCGUGCAUAACACAUGCAAGUCGAACGAUGAAACUCUAAAGAUUUCUUCGGAAUGAAUUAGAAUGGAUUAGUGGCGAACGGGUGAGUAACACGUGAGUAACCUGCCUUAGAGAAGGGGAUAGCCUUUGGAAACGAAGAAUAAUACCCUAUGACAUGAUAAUAUCGCAUGAAGUUAUCAUCAAAGAAUUAUCGCUCUAAGAUGGACUUGCGUCUGAUUAGCUAGUUGGUGGAGUAAC